GAAAUGAUGCUCUUUUUUAGCGCUGUGCUAGCAGGAAGGUCUGUGAAGUUUGCAAUAAAGCCAUUAUGAAGUCAAGAAUGGAGGUUCCAUUUUUAAAGAACUCAGAGGGGGUAGAUCUUGAUUGACAUCUCAUCUGGGGUCACCUGGUCUUCAACUGAGAGAUCUUUUGGUUCGCCACGGAUGCCCCUUGCAGUUAUGGAAGCUUCCCUGACCAGAGGUCGUUUUGAGUUUCCUUCUCUGGAAUUUGACCACUGAGCAGAGACACAUAGGAGAGAAGACGUGAAUGCUGAGUCAUCAAUCAGCAUCACUGGGAAGAAAAAGCCUCUCAGUUUCUUCUGCUGGGACUCCCAGAGCUGGAGUAUUUUCUGCUCUUCCUAAGGCCUGCACUUCUCCUUGCUGCUGCUGUGUGAAGAAGGAUGUGUUUUCUUCCUCUUCCUCCGUGAUUAAUCUCACCUUGUCACCCAGGCUGGAGUGCAAUGGCAUAAUCUCAGCUCACUGCAACCUCUGUCUCCCAGGCUCAAAUGAUUCUCCUGCCUCAGCCUCCUGAGUAGCUGGGAUUACAGGCGCCCAUGGACUACCAGCUUUUUAAGUAGACUUUUUAGCCAAAGGCCAAGGGAAACUACCCUCUUCCUACUGGGGUUCAAAUUGAUUAAAAUGGUUUGCUUUGA
rnacentral:lncRNA from 1 species